rnacentral:rRNA from 1 species
UACGUAGGGUGCAAGCGUUGUCCGGAAUUAUUGGGCGUAAAGAGCUCGUAGGCGGUUUGUCGCGUCUGCUGUGAAAACUCGGGGCUCAACCCCGAACUUGCAGUGGGUACGGGCAGACUAGAGUGUGGUAGGGGAGACUGGAAUUCCCGGUGUAGCGGUGAAAUGCGCAGAUAUCGGGAGGAACACCAAUGGCGAAGGCAGCUUGCUGGGACGGUACUGACGCUGAGGCGCGAAAGCGUGGGGAGCAAACAGG